rnacentral:rRNA from 1 species
ACGGGUGAGUAACGCGUGGGAAUCUACCCAUCCCUACGGAACAACUCCGGGAAACUGGAGCUAAUACCGUAUACGCCCUUUGGGGGAAAGAUUUAUCGGGGAUGGAUGAGCCCGCGUUGGAUUAGCUAGUUGGUGGGGUAAAGGCCUACCAAGGCGACGAUCCAUAGCUGGUCUGAGAGGAUGAUCAGCCACAUUGGGACUGAGACACGGCCCAAACUCCUACGGGAGGCAGCAGUGGGGAAUAUUGGACAAUGGGCGCAAGCCUGAUCCAGCCAUGCCGCGUGAGUGAUGAAGGUCUUAGGAUUGUAAAGCUCUUUCACCGGAGAAGAUAAUGACGGUAUCCGGAGAAGAAGCCCCGGCUAACUUCGUGCCAGCAGCCGCGGUAAUACGAAGGGGGCUAGCGUUGUUCGGAAUUACUGGGCGUAAAGCGCACGUAGGCGGAUAUUUAAGUCAGGGGUGAAAUCCCAGAGCUCAACUCCGGAACUGCCUUUGAUACUGGGUAUCUUGAGUAUGGAAGAGGUAAGUGGAAUUGCGAGUGUAGAGGUGAAAUUCGUAGA